GGUCGGUAGUGCCGGUGGUUGAUACGAGCUUGAGGUACGCGUCGAACGAUUUUUGCAACAGGUCUAAAAUCGCGUUUGAGUGUAAAAAACAGCGCUCAGAAGUCUCGUUGCGAUGUGUUGCGAGUUACGGUGAAUUUUGUGGAGUGAUUUUCCCCGCUUUUAACCAGCCAGAUUUUACCUGUUCAACGCAGAAAUGCGGGUGCUCGCUGCGGUGGCAGUUUUUACCAGUUUGCUGGUAACUACUUUCGAGGCACCCCAAGACGCUAUCAGUUACGACACGGACGAUAAUUACCGAGAAGCAUACUUCAAUGGUUCGGCAUACCUGAGACUCGCAUCAACUGUAUCUGUACAUCGGCAAACCGGACUGAGUUUUCGAACUUGCGACGGGGGAAGGUUGUUCAUUCAACACUUUGGCCCUGACUUCAUAAGCCUGGAAGUUACUCCAGAGGGUCUCCUGUUUUUGGCGUCUGUUAAUCAGCAACGAUACGAAGCCAAAUUGAAUGCUAAACUGUUGAACAAUGCCUGGCAUUACGUGAAUUUGUUGUUCCGGCUCGGCAACUUUACCCUCAGCGCUGCCGGACAUACACAGGUGAUCGCUAAUGGUACUUACAACUCGGGUAUUCUCAAUCUGCCAGACUAUAACGAUAACGAACCCCUCAUAAUCGGUGAGGGUUUUAAAGGAUGCAUAUUACAAGGACCUGGUAUAUUAUUCAGACGAAAUUCCACUAUUAAUAGUGGGGCUGUAUUUGGAACGUGUCCUUUGGAAUCUGCAGGCUGUGGUCCACUAAGCGUCGGUGGCCUAGCGACAGUGACUGUUCCCACAUCAGACUUCUGUGACCACGAACCAUGCAUGAUGCAUGGAACCUGCGUCUCUCGACAGGAUCGCUAUGAGUGCCAUUGUUUCGCCCGGUACUCUGGCAACAACUGUCAACUCGAUAAUGGUCCGCCAUGUGACAGUAAUCCUUGCCAAAAUGGUGGAUCAUGUACCGAAGAUUCUAGAGGUAAUUACAGUUGCACCUGCAUCCCAGGAUUCACUGGAACUCUUUGUGACUCGCAGCUGGGAGUCAGCCUGUGCGAACGUAAUCCAUGCGAAAAUGAUGGAACCUGUUACAAUGUAGCAGACGGUGAAUACAAGUGCGAAUGUAGCUCUGGGUGGACGGGUAAGAAUUGUGAAAUCAAUAUCAAUGAAUGUGCAUCGAAUCCUUGCAAACACGGAGGUACAUGCACUGACAGCAUUAAUAAUUACACCUGUCGAUGCGAUAGAACAGGAUAUCGAGGUAUCAACUGCGAAAUCAACAUCAAUGAAUGCCUGAAUAAUCCUUGUCUAAAUAACGGCGCGUGCUUUGAUAACUAUGGUGGAUACAUAUGCCAAUGUCCUAUGGGUUUCGAGGGCCAAAAUUGUGAAUUAAAUUUAAACGAAUGUCUGUCCAAUCCUUGUACCAACGGAGGUAGUUGUAUCGAUGAAGUUGGCACUUAUCAUUGUAACUGUUUGUCUGGUUAUACUGGCCGACACUGUGAAUUACACGGUCUUUGUGAAAACGGAGCUUGUCCACUCAACAGUAUUUGCAUACCCGACAAUCACGGACCGCAGUGUGUAUGCAAUCCCGGAUUUAUGGGGAUUCCACCAAAUUGCACCAUUAAUUUCUGCGCGAACAAUCCAUGUUUGAACGGAGGUACCUGCACAAGUAAUCAGGAUGGAUUUAAUUGUACAUGCCCUAUUGAGUGGACGGGAUCAUCAUGCACAGAACUUAUUUCUGAUCAGUGCUCGGCAUGUCUGAAUGGGGGCACCUGCAUUGAAACCGCUCGUGGCAUUGUUUGUCAAUGUCCUAGAUUUUGGACAGGACUUCAAUGCGAACUACAAAUCACCUGUAGAGACAUGCCUUGCAAACAAGCAUCCGCUUGCCAUGAUUAUUCAGGAGGCUACUACUGCAGUUGUGAACCUGGAUGGACCGGGCCCGAGUGCUCAAUUGAUUUGGACGAAUGUGCGGGUGAUCCUUGUCGUAAUGGUGCGACUUGCAUUGACCAGUUAAAUAGUUACUACUGUCAGUGCCUCUCUGGCUAUACUGGUAAAAACUGCCAUAUUCUUGACAAGUGUCUUUCGCAACCUUGCCAAAACGGAGGCAUAUGCAUCAACGAAAUUAAUGGCUAUUCUUGCAAUUGUAUUCGUGAUUUUGUGGGAGAGAAUUGCGACCGAGAAUAUGAUGCUUGUGCAAUUAAUCCCUGUGCGAAUAAUGGUAUUUGUACCCUUGUGGCAAGGUCGAGAACAAAUUAUGACUGCAAGUGUGCCCCAGGAUUCAUGGGGAAGACUUGUGAUAUUGAUAUUGACGAGUGCAUUGGUGCAAUAUGUCCGGAUGACAGGGUCUGUGUUGAUGCAAUAGAUGGUUAUGAAUGUAGAUGCAAAGAUGGCUAUAGAGGGCCAAACUGUACUUUAAUUGUUGAUCACUGUGCAAGUAAUACAUGCAACAACGGUACAUGCAUCGAUUUAAGUGACAAAUACGAGUGUGAAUGCAAUGAAGGAUAUACAGGUACAGCUUGCGAUCAAGAUGUUGAUGAGUGUGCGACAUAUGGGAACUCCUUAUGCAACAAUGGAAUUUGUGUAAAUACAAAUGGAAGUUAUGAUUGCUUCUGCAGACCAGGUUUUUCGGGAGAUCAUUGUGACAUGGAAAUUGACGAAUGUUUAUGUGGUCCGUGUAAAAAUAAUGCAACGUGCAUUGACCGAAUAAAUGCAUUCGAAUGUAGUUGCCAGGACGGUUAUGCUGGCAAAACUUGCGAAGUAGACGUGGACGAGUGCUUAAGCAAUCCAUGCAUAAAUGGUGCAACUUGUAUAGAUAAUACUGCAUUUUACUCUUGCAUAUGCUCACUCGGUUUUACUGGAAAUAAUUGUGAAAUAAACAUUGAUGAUUGCCAGUCAUCACCCUGCUUGAAUUACGGUGAAUGUAUUGAUGGUAUUAAUAAUUACACCUGUAAUUGCACCGAUACUGGAUUUGAGGGUGCAAAUUGCGAAUUCAAUAUUGACGAUUGCCUGUCAGCUCCAUGUAUGAACGGAGCCAAAUGUGUAGAUGGUAUCCUGUCGUAUAACUGUCAGUGUUAUGAUGGAUACACAGGAUUAAAUUGUGAAAAAGAUAUUGAUGAAUGCGAGAGUUCACCUUGCCAGUUUAAUGGUACCUGUCUUGAAAGAUCAAACCGGGAAUUGUAUAAGAGUAACGCAUCAACAUUACCAGCAAUAUUCACAAGAAACUUUAGCUAUGAAAAUGCUAGUGGUUACGAAUGCAUUUGCAUAUCUGGUGUAAUAGGAAAAAACUGUGAAAUUAAUAUCAAUGAAUGCGAAAGCAACCCCUGUGUAACUGGUACAUGCAUGGACCGAAUCGGUGGAUAUAAGUGCGAAUGUGAUGAUGGUUUUGAGGGUACACACUGCCAAACUGACAUCGACGAAUGUAAAAAGUAUACACCAUGCGAACAUGGUACGUGUUUAGAUGGAAAAGCGGACUAUUCUUGUAUAUGUGACCCUGGGUUCGGUGGAAAAAACUGUUCAGUACCAUUGAUUGGUUGUCAAGGCAAUGCAUGCCAAAACGGUGGCACAUGUUGGCCAUACUUGGUCGAUGAAACAGAACAUAGGUUCAACUGCACUUGUCCCAAUGGUUUUCAUGGGGAGAUGUGUGAUAUUGUAACAACUAUGUCAUUGAACGGCAAGUCUUACGUACUGGUAAACACAAGCAGAGAUGAAGGAUAUGACAUACAAUUUCGAUUUCGAACAACACUACCUGAUGGUCUAAUAGCCAUGGGUAAAGGUUCCACAUUUUACAUACUGGAAUUAGUUAACGGGAAGUUGAAUUUGCAUUCCAGUAUACUGAACAGGUGGGAGGGUGUUUUCAUUGGUACUGGUCUAAAUAAUUCCGAGUGGCAAAAAGUAUUUGUUGCCAUCAACACGACGCAUAUAGUUCUGUCUGCUAAUGAAGAACAAACGAUUUAUCCAAUCAAUCUGAAUGAAGGAAAUGCUAGCCACACAUCCUUCCCAACUACUUACAUUGGCGGCACAAUAACUUAUCUGAGCAGAUUGACUCAUGGGCCAGCAUUUUUCAUUGGCUGCACUGAAGAUGUUAUCAUAAAUGGAGAAUGGAUAUAUACUGGGCUGCAAUCUAGUUCUGUUCAGAUGGUAGAUGUUGAAUCAGGCUGCCCCCGCACAGAGCAAUGUUUGCCGAAUCCAUGUAAAAAUGGUGGUCACUGCACGGAUAGAUGGCAAAAUUUUUCCUGCAAGUGUGAACGUCCGUAUCUUGGUCACACUUGUCAGUAUAAUAUGACUGCUGCCACUUUUGGAUAUGGAAACAUCACUGACGGUUAUGUUACAGUAAAAGUAAAUGAUUUGGCAAGACGUGCAAUCAGAUCGAUUGUAGACAUAUCAAUGUUCAUUAGAACACGACAAGAUACAGGUGAUAUAUUUUAUUUGGGUUCUGAAUCGAGUGCCCAAUUCGAUGGUAAACAAGAGAAACCUUACAUCCGUGCUCUGCUGGAACAUGGGGAAUUGCUGGUACAAAUACAGUUCAAUGGAUCAGAAGCAUACACUGUUGGUGGUGUUAAACUGAACCAGGGAAAUUAUCAUUUGAUUCAAGUUGUUAGGAAUGUGACUUUAGUACAAGUUAAAAUAAACGGAAGUGAAUAUUUCCGAAAAACGAUCGGUGCUACAGGACAAUCAAAUGUAACAGUUUUGUACUUGGGUGGUUUGCCCCGCCAGACACCCAGAUCCAGUAGACAGGCAGAUAACCGUCAAACGGAUAUACAACAAGCACCUCAGACCAAUUUUAAAGGCAUAAUACAAGAUGUGCAGAUAUCAAACGGUUCUGAAACCAUGGUAGUCGAAUUUUAUCCACUAAAGGCAAAAGACAUACCUACACUAAUUGAAUUUGGCACGGUCAUACUUGAUAAAGAAAAAAUUUUGGAAGGCGUUGUCUCUGAUCCUGUUUGCAACAGUAAUCCAUGUUAUCAUAAUGGAACAUGCCAUGUAACGUGGAAUGACUUUUGGUGUCAGUGUCCGAGAGGAUACACAGGUAAGAUGUGCCAAGAGAUGGAAUUUUGUCAACUGCAGGACUGUCCAACUGGAUCAAGGUGUCAGAAUUUGGAUGAUGGAUAUGAAUGUGUAGCAAAUGCUACUUUUAAUGGCAGCAACGACCUAUUUACUUACACAUAUAAACAGUCUGAAGAACAAAAUGGAACUGAAUCAACAACAGACACUAUUGAAAUUACAUACCGAUCGCGCACUGGUGGUGUAUUGAUGCAUAUAGCACCAAAGAGUGGGAAUCAGAAUUUUGCAGUCUCUGUAUUUAGAGACAAUAUCUCAAUCUCCUGGAUUUUAGAUUAUAAUAAUCAUGGAACUUUAUCCUUUGGCAAAAAUGAGCCGGAUGGAAAUUGGACAUCUAUUGUGAUCAAGUUGAAUAAUGAUUCAAUUGAGUCUGGAUAUGCAAAUUCAAAUGAUGAAACAAUACCACAUUCAAGUCCAAAUUUUAGUUUCUCUUUGUGGUAUGAGUUACUGUGCACGGGAACAGUGACGCUGGGUGGUCUCGGUGGUGAAUUAUCAGACAGGAAUAGUUAUGUAACCAUCGGGACAAACAGUACCUACAGUGGUGGAAAUACUGUGGAUGGAAAUUCCGUUGAGUAUCCUCAGCACAUGAUGACUACUGCAACUCCACCACAUAGUUUUGUGUUAGGUGAUGCCUUUAAGGGUUGCCUAGGUGAAGUGAGAAUUGGUGCUAUGCUUUUGCACUACUUUACUUAUGACGAAGUAUAUCAGAAUGCCAAUUUCACACCAACGGAAUACCUUUCUCUACAAGUGGUAGGCAAUCUGUCCAGUUAUGAAAAUAUUGGAUGUCGUCUGUGUUUUGAAAGUGAUUGUAAAAACGGUGGUCACUGCUUAAACGAAGCCAACAGUUACAUUUGUGAUUGUCUGCCUGGCUAUGCAGAAGAUGAUUGUUCAGUAGACAUCGAUGAAUGUAUAGAUAACAAAUGUAAACAUGGAGCUAUGUGCGUGGAUAAGAUAGCAAACUAUACUUGUGAAUGCACUAGCGGGUGGCAGAGUUGGCUUUGUGAUGAAGAUAUCAACGAAUGUGUAAGUGUUACUACUUGUCAGCAUGAUGGUGUUUGCGUGAAUCUUCCUGGGUCAUUCCGUUGCGAAUGUCCGGAUCAAUUUACAGGAAAUUUAUGUGAGGAAGUGAGAAUAAUCACAUGUGCGGACCACAAGUGCAAAAAUGGUUCUACUUGUACGGAUGUAGUUGAUACGAAAACUGGUAAUAACUUCACGUGCACCUGUAUGCCAGGCUUUGAAGGACAAUUCUGUGACACCCCAUAUUGCAUGCCCAAUAAGUGCCAGCAUGGUGGACGAUGUGAUUAUCUUUAUCAGACUCCACAAUGUACAUGCGUUGCCGGUUACACUGGAAUGUACUGUGAAACGGAUAUAGACGAUUGCGCUGCUGAUACGAACGGUAAUGUCCCAUGCAAAAAUGGCGGGAAAUGUUUGGAUGGGGUGAACAAUUUCAAGUGUGAUUGUUCUCAUACGGGCUACAAUGGCUCUGACUGUUCAAUAGACAUUGAUGAAUGUGCACAGAUGCCAGUGAAUUGUGAAAAUGGUCACUGUGAAAAUUUACCAGGAAGUUAUCAAUGCAGCUGUAUCCCGGGUUAUUGUGGUAGAAAUUGUGAAGUUUUAGAUCCGUGUAUUCAGACACCAUGCCAAAACGAAGGAACAUGCACAUGUCUUGAUGAUUCUGGUUAUAUUUGUCACUGCACCUCAGAUUACGGUGGGCAUAAUUGUACAGAGCAAAAACUUUCUUUGGGCAGCCAAGCACUGGACAUUGCUGUAAUAGUUGGCCCCAUCGUGGGUUGUUUACUUUUGAUUGGUGCAGGGUCAUUAAUAGCCCUUUUUAUGAUGGCUCGAAAAAAACGGGCUACUCGCGGUACAUAUAGCCCCAGUGCUCAAGAAUUUAGUAACCCCAGAGUAGAAAUGGACAAUGUGAUGAAACCUCCGCCGGAAGAAAGAUUGAUCUAGGGAACUUGAAGUGUGUAAACAUGAGUUGUCGUCAGUUAAACCUAGUCCCUUGAAUAAGUUAUUGUUUCUUCUACUCCUCAGCCGCAAUGAGAUUUUCAGAUGACAAACGACCAGAAAUUGCCGUAUUUUACUCAUGUACAUGAAUGUUAUAUUGCGGUUCUUAAAAUGCACUAUUAUAUGCAGUAACUGAAUUAGAAACAAUUAGGAGAGCUUUUUUUAGCAUCAGUUGAGUUUCAGGAUAACUGCUUCAUGAGUGCAUUUACCCAAGUUCUGAAAAAUAUUCUGUUACAGUAUUGCAUUACCAAUGGAUUUUUUAAGCAGUUUACUUUAGACGCAAUAUAUAUGAAAUCAGGCCACCAUCAGAUUUAUGCAGUUGGUGAUGUUUAGAUCAAGUGUGAAAAAAUGUAGGAUCGCCAUCCAGGAUUGAGUUUUAAACGAAAUUCAACCGUUUAUUAGCAAUUAGGCUAUCUGAGUCACACUUUAUCUGCCCAACAAUUUCAUAUAAUUAGAUAGUCUUGAAAACUAAUUGUAAGCUUUUCUCAUCAUUGACCAGUCAACUUAUGACGGCCUUAUAGAAUGACAAUAAUAACACCUGAUAUGCAGAAGCUAGUGUUAAAAAAAAACGAGACCUAGAUAUAUCGUUACAAUGCAUUCCGAAAACAAAAAAAUAAAUGCACUCGAGUAGGUUCCUAUAUAUGCUCAGUAUAAGAUUAACAGUGAUACUUAAACUAAACGAAUCCAUUCGAAGUGUACUUAAGCGAUAAUAAGUGUCCUUAAUGUUGAAUAAUUUACUUAUAAUAUUGAAGAAGGCCUAUAAAUAUAACGCAACCCGUCCAUUUAGUGCCUAAUAUAUAUGUACAACCACUCUGAAUGUCUCUAUGUAUAUAGAGAUAUACUACUUAAAAUAUUCCCAAUAUUUGACUAUUAAAAGAUCUCUGAAGCAUAAUUUGAUGUCUUUACUUAAACGUGAGCAAUAAACGCAAAUAUCAGUGAAGGAUUACUGAUAAUAAUAAUAAUGAUAUUGAUAAUUAUAAUCUAUUUAUGAACGGUAUAGAAGUGCUUGAAUCAUUUGUAGAAAUGUAUUUUGUUUCGUUUGAUGAGCCUGGAACUAUGAUUUUUAAAACAGCACUCCGUUAAUUAUUCUUGUAAAUACUGUAGAUUAUAAGUUAAGGAUAUUAAUAGUGGUUUUUAUGGAUAAGAUCUCUAUACACAUUUCGUACUGAAAAUUGAUUUUUAAUUUGGUAUAUAACAUUUACCAUGACGACCAAAGUAAUUGUAGUGAAAGUUUUUGAUUGUAGGAAGGAAUUUGCUCGAAUUUAAUCAUUAGAAAUGACUGGAUCGGAAGGAUUUUACGAUUUUACGAAAAUCGUGUUAUUCGUCUUGUAUAGUGUUCAGGGCUCAAGUUUUGAGUUUCUGUAAACAAGAAUGAAUUGCAUAGUUACAACAUUGAUCUGCAUGUUUAAUUUAUUUAAAUCAGAAUCACUGUGGCGUUUAGUAGCUGCAACUUGCAUGCAGAAUUUUCUUCUGAUUCAUAGUUUAUGUAAAAGUUAACUGCAUUCAUUUAUACGUAUAUGUAUAUAUAUACAUAUAUUUACAGUUCUGCUUAGACAAAACUUCAAAGUUGUAAUAAUAAAUACAGAAUUAUAGUAUACCUAUAAUAACAUUUAUUUGCAAAGUAUUCACUCGAAGUGUACAGCUACAUGGUAGCAGCAAGUAUAAUAUGAAAUAGCAGAUUUAUUAAAAUGAUUUUCGAACCAGAUAUUGGUGAAAGUAUUUUAUACAGAGAAAAUAGGUCUGUAAGAAGUUUAUAUAACUACUUUUACAGUUCGUAAAACAGUAAAUCAUCUAACAGCCCUCCUUUACUAUAUAACAAUAUAUCAGCUUAUUGUACAAAAUAAAAUUGUAUACAUUUAUUUCGGAAAUUGUAAAUAUAAAAUUUGUAAUUUUUUUCACACAACGUGAAUGAAAAAUAUUUGGACGAUAAAUUUACCCCAUGUGACUCUGAACUUCGUUGAUAUUAAAUUAUUGGGAGAUGGACAAGUGAAGAGUGAUGAAAUACGCAAGUUAUUUGAAAAUAUUUAUUUGUUUAUUUUUUCAGCUCAUGAUACGGUAAUAUUUACAUUGCAACACACGGAAGACUAGAACAAAACUAUACAGUAUCUACAUAUAAGACCCGAUUGCUCUGUUAUUUGAAAUUAAAGUGGAUCUUAACUUCAUUUUUAGCACUUGAAAUUCAGCUCAACUUUAAUUUGCCAUGGUACAAUCAGGCCUUAGGUAUAUUUCAGCACCAUUAUGGAUUAUGAUGCAUCAGUAGGAGCUAUUAUUUGGUUACGAAUUUUAAAAUAAAAUAUUUACAUAACACAUAAUGUGAGAUUAUAUUAUUGUUUUUAGUUUUUUUAAGAAACUCAACAAUGUGUUUUGCUCUCGGUAAUUCAAACCUAUAGCUCCGACUGGAAGGGUAUUUAAGUAUUUACAAUUUCAACAAAAUAAAAGAAAUCUAUAGAUGUAGUCAACAGAAGUAAAAUAUAUGUAGAGCGCUGUUUCCUUGAAGCUAUGUAAAAGAAUUAUACACAAGGUGUAACAAACCGCAGCAAGCUGCAUAAUAUUUUUGUUGUGCAUGAAGAUUUGAUUGAGCAGGCUUCUACUGCAUUCCCUGUUUAGAGUCAGGGAAAAGGCUCUGUAUGUGUAUAAUUCAUUUACUUCCUGUUAUAGUGAUUAAACAUUACAUCCAUCCAACACGUUUUCCAUUUAUCUUGGAUAAUUUAUCGCGUGAUAUUUUGUCAAAGAAUAAAAGGCCUGCAGCUCGUUCGACACUUUCCGGUGGUACCUGUGAUACGAAUAUUAGGUGCUUUAGUAUAGAAUCUUAUUCAAUGUAUUUUCAACCCUGUCAUACAAAGGGGAAAUAGUGAAUUAGAGGUUUAUAUUUAAAUCCUUACAAAUAAGUGUCUAAAAUAAUAUCAUACAUCAGACAAAGAAUUAAAUAAUAUCCCAUAAAAUUAGUGUUAUAUUUUAUUGUGUCUGAAUAGGUUGAUUUAUGAAUUGAAUGAAAUAUGCUGGAAAACUUUAUUACACUUAUUUGUUUUGAACAGAGGCUAUUUCGACCCACGGUAUACCUGAAAAUUUGUCAAUGGUGCCGUGCUGUCUAUUGGAGCAUUUGGCAUCACAAAGGCUUCCAUUUCUAAUCUGCAAUCUUUAGUUUGCCCCACGAUUACUUUGUAAAAGUGCGUAGGUACAGCCACAUGAUUUGUGCCAAUCACCUCGUAUUUUAUAUAUUUUUUCCCAUCAACUUCUUUUCUGUUAAUAUACGUAUAAUUAUUGAAUGUCGUUAUAACGAUAAUGAAUAAAGAAGUAUGGUGCAUCUAUAAAGUGAAAGGCCCAAACCCAAGUAUCAGAAACUAGGAUAUUUUCAUUUAGCAAUUCUUAUGAAAAUCUUAUAUUUAAGUCCUAAAUGACAUCAAAGGAUAAAUUCUCAUACCACUUGCAAACUUAUACAUCUACUUACUUAGGAAGAAACAAGGGCCCUGUACAAACAUACACAUCUGUGUAAAUUUCAGUCAUCUUUCUCACAUAUUUUUCCAGUUUAUUCCAAGCAUCUCUGUUGAAACCUACCCCUACUUGUGGUGCUAUAUUUGACAGGAAAAAUGUCUGUUCAAUAUGUUUUUGAUGUGCUUUGUGGUUACCAGCUGCUGCUAAAUGUCCACGAUCAUAACCACUGUAUUUAUAAUCUUUAUUGUCUGACCU
rnacentral:misc_RNA from 1 species